GAGAAGUUGGCUCAGUGGUAGAGUGCUUGCCUCGAAUGCAUGAGGCCCUGGGUUCAAUUCCUCAGCUCCACA
rnacentral:tRNA from 1 species